rnacentral:rRNA from 1 species
UUAAAUUGAAGAGUUUGAUCAUGGCUCAGAUUGAACGCUGGCGGCAGGCCUAACACAUGCAAGUCGAACGGUAACAGGAAGCAGCUUGCUGCUUCGCUGACGAGUGGCGGACGGGUGAGUAAUGUCUGGGAAACUGCCUGAUGGAGGGGGAUAACUACUGGAAACGGUAGCUAAUACCGCAUAACGUCGCAAGACCAAAGAGGGGGACCUUCGGGC